ACGGGUGAGUAAUGUCUGGGGAUCUGCCCGAUAGAGGGGGAUAACCACUGGAAACGGUGGCUAAUACCGCAUAACGUCGCAAGACCAAAGAGGGGGACCUUCGGGCCUCUCGCUAUCGGAUGAACCCAGAUGGGAUUAGCUAGUAGGCGGGGUAAUGGCCCACCUAGGCGACGAUCCCUAGCUGGUCUGAGAGGAUGACCAGCCACACUGGAACUGAGACACGGUCCAGACUCCUACGGGAGGCAGCAGUGGGGAAUAUUGCACAAUGGGCGCAAGCCUGAUGCAGCCAUGCCGCGUGUAUGAAGAAGGCCUUCGGGUUGUAAAGUACUUUCAGCGGGGAGGAAGGCGAUGGGGUUAAUAACUCUGUCGAUUGACGUUACCCGCAGAAGAAGCACCGGCUAACUCCGUGCCAGCAGCCGCGGUAAUACGGAGGGUGCAAGCGUUAAUCGGAAUUACUGGGCGUAAAGCGCACGCAGGCGGUCUGUUAAGUCAGAUGUGAAAUCCCCGGGCUUAACCUGGGAACUGCAUUUGAAACUGGCAGGCUUGAGUCUUGUAGAGGGGGGUAGAAUUCCAGGUGUAGC
rnacentral:rRNA from 1 species